UACGGGGGGGGCAAGCGUUGUUCGGAAUUACUGGGCGUAAAGGGCUCGUAGGUGGCCAACUAAGUCAUGCGUGAAAUCCCUCGGCUUAACCGGGGAACUGCGUCUGAUACUGGAUGGCUUGAGUUUGGGAGAGGGAUGCGGAGUUCCAGGUGUAGCGGUGAAAUGCGUAGAUAUCUGGAGGAACACCGGUGGCGAAGGCGGCAUCCUGGACCAACACUGACACUGAGGAGCGAAAGCCAGGGGAGCAAACGGG
rnacentral:rRNA from 1 species